rnacentral:rRNA from 1 species
UACAGAGGGUGCAAGCGUUGUUCGGAAUUACUGGGCGUAAAGCGCGCGUAGGUGGCCCCGUAAGUCCGCUGUGAAAGUCAAAGGCUCAACCUUUGAAAGCCGGUGGAUACUGUGGGACUAGAGUACGGAAGAGGCGAGUGGAAUUCCUGGUGUAGCGGUGGAAUGCGCAGAUAUCAGGAGGAACACCAAUAGCGAAGGCAGCUCGCUGGGACGUUACUGACACUGAGGCGCGAAAGCGUGGGGAGCGAACAGG